ACAGAGAGAAGGAAAAAAAUAAUAUCAUGUCACUAUGUGAAAACAGUAGGGAGAGUUUAGUGAGUCGUGAACCCUGGGAAGAAACCUGAAAGUUUUUACAUCUCAACUGGACUGUUUUUGUUUUUAUUAUCACUAAAGGUAAUGAUAAAACUUUGACCCAGCUCAUUUUAUUACCACGUGUUGUAGACUUUGAAUAAUCUCUCUGCUUUUCUGGCUCUCUCUUUACAGGUUACACUCUGCACAAAUACUCCACUGUGCAGUAAACAAUGCCUGACCUGAAAUCCCAGUCUCUCUCUUUGUUUCUCUUCCACCUCAACACAACAAGCAGGAGGUGGUGACCCUCUCGAAGCCCCGCCCUCUCAGCGUUGGACCCAGGCUGCACAGCUGAGAUAAAAAUCCCGCUCUCAUUGCCACCAACCAGGGUGAUGUCCUUCAGAAGGUUGUCACCUUUUAACGACACUUCCUGCACCGGUUUCAGAGAGGAGCUGACUCUUGAGAAGGAGGACAGAGACGGACGGAACGGCCUGCACACAGACGGACAUUGACAUCUGUGAGAAGCAUUGUUGGUCGUCCUUCACUCACCAUAUUUGGUCUGCUGCUCUGCUCCAUGAAGGAAUGUGGCAGCGUGAAGGCACAGUGUGGAGUAGGGAGCAGGGGCGCUGAAGAGUGGGGGUAAGUUGGAGAAGAGGGCAGGGAUCUGUAACUGAGGUGCUGGUUUGGUUUCUGGAUCUCCAAAAAGUCUCCUCUGUUCAUUGAUACUGUCAGUCGAGGGGCGUCUGCGUUACCAUGU